rnacentral:rRNA from 1 species
UACGAAGGGGGCUAGCGUUGCUCGGAAUUACUGGGCGUAAAGCGCACGUAGGCGGAUUGUUAAGUCGGGGGUGAAAUCCUGGAGCUCAACUCCAGAACUGCCUUCGAUACUGGCGAUCUCGAGUUCGGGAGAGGUGAGCGGAACUGCGAGUGUAGAGGUGAAAUUCGUAGAUAUUCGCAAGAACACCAGUGGCGAAGGCGGCUCACUGGCCCGAUACUGACGCUGAGGUGCGAAAGCGUGGGGAGCAAACAGG